rnacentral:rRNA from 1 species
AUGCUACCGCGCUGCUGGUGGUUUCACAGUCCGGGCGGGACCACCUUUGUCAUCUCCACCGCGGCGUCGCGCCGUCUCUCCGGUAGCGCUCGGGGGCUCGACUUCAACCCGUCCCCGGAGCGGCCGCGCGGGACGGCGCGUCAUCGUCGCCGGCCUCGCCAUCUUCGUCGUCACCACGACGUCGUCACUUCUCCGGCGCCGGUCGAGAGCUCGACAUCAGCACACCCUCGGCGCGUCCGUGCUGGGCGGUGCAUCUUCAUCACCACCGUUGCGACGCCGGUUGUCCGUCCACGCACGCGCUGCGCGCGCGGUUCCUCGCUUCGGUCGGCCGUAUUCAUGCACGCGCCGCGCCGCAUCGCUCGCAUCUGCUCCCCUCCGCGUUGUGCCUUGCUCCGGCCGAUGCAUGUGUUCGCUCCUCCACAUAUCAUCUUUGCAAGCUGGCUAAAUGCAAGUCAACAAUGGUCAAACAAUUACCCAUACCAUUGGCCAGACACUAUGCCUAGAUAUUCCCCAGAUUAUGCCCAUACGCUAGCCGGAUACGAGUCGGAUGUGUAUGUAGAAUGGUCAGAUAAUGGACAUAGGUACAGGCUCGCCUCCGCUCUUCUCUGCUCCGCGCGCUGCUUCAGCCCCGCCACUCCCUUCUCGCGGCCACGCGUUGCGGCAGCCCCUGAGUGCCGGUCCGCUGCUCCGCAAGCUGCUCCGGCAACGAGCUGCUACCCUGCUCGCCUCCCCAUCUGCUGCGCGCCAUCAUGGCCGCACCUAGCAACCACGGGGACGACUCCCGUAUCCCAUGGCCGUCACUCCACCGUGCGCGCCCCGCCCAGGCUCCCUGCUGCUUCGCCGCUCCAGACUAGUGCGCGGGCCGCUCCGUCACCGCACGCCUGCACCGUGGCAGGCUUCCCUGGACCACCCCUCGGCCACGAACGAGCUGCACCGGGCGCUCCCACGAGCCCCGCGCCAACCUGCGCCGCCUUUCGUUGCUUCUGCGCCGGCUGCUCGCUGCUCCCGCACCGGCUGCUGAGCGCCGCACCCGGCCCCGCCUGGCCUUCGCCGGCUCCGACGCGGGCCGUGUGCGCCGGUCGUCCGCGCCGUCUGCGCCCGCGCGUGGCUGGGUUCUCCACCCCGCCGACUCCGCCUUGCCGCGCCCACGCUGGGUGCUCCCCCUCUCGCGCGUCGGCCCCGCCGUUCGUCGUUGGCCGGGUCCGCCUCCACGCGCACUGGCCGGCUCCCCCGCUCCCUCGCUGCGUGGCUGCUGCGUUUCGUCCGCCUGCUGAACGCGCCUCCCGCAUCCCGUCCGCCUGCUGGCCCCCGGCCGCGCCCGGCCGCCUCUGUCUCGCGCGCACACCGGGCGCCCUCCGUCGCGCCCGGCUCCGGCUGUGUCGCGCUUGCCCGGCCUCUCCAGCAGCCGGCUUCGCCGCCGUGCGGCCCCGAGCGCCGCGCCGGCUCCGCCUCCGCCGGGUGCGCCUGCGGCCGGCUCCCUCCCGCGUCGCCCGGCUCUGUCCGCGCGACCGGCUUCACCAGCGCCUGGCGCCCGAGUCGCCCUCCCCUCCGCUCCGCCCUGGCCGCAACUCGGAUCAGGGUGCAUGGCUCACCGUCCGGCUCCCCCGCUGGCCCACUCGCCGCCUCACCUCCGGGCGCCCGGGAGCGCCUCAGCCGGCUCCCGCUGUUCGCUGCCGCAACCUGUCGACGUCGUUCGGGCAGCCGAGAAAAAGAAAGAAAAGAAAGAAGGGUCCAGCUCCCCGCGUGGAGUCGGACAGAAAAAGAAAAAAGAAAAGAGAGAGGACGGCCGGGGCAAGAAAGAAAAGGGCCGCCUGCCCAAGGGCCAGCUGGAAGAAAAGUCAACCGCCGGCUGCCAAGGAAAAGUGUGGCCGACUGGUGGCGCCGGCUGCUCCCGUGCGACCGGUUAAAAAAAUCAAGGGCUGUGUACUCAGCCGACUGGCUAAGAAAAAAGUACGUCCGGCUUCCCACAUGGAGUCAGAUAAAAAGAAAGUGAGAAAGAUGUGCGUCCGACCGCUGACUGUCAGGCCAGCUGCAAAGAACCCGACUGCUGUGUCGGAGUCCGCUUGCCCAGCCACCUGA